UGGGGAAUAUUGGACAAUGGGCGAAAGCCUGAUCCAGCCAUGCCGCGUGUGUGAAGAAGGUCUUCGGAUUGUAAAGCACUUUAAGUUGGGAGGAAGGGCAUUAACCUAAUACGUUAGUGUUUUGACGUUACCGACAGAAUAAGCACCGGCUAACUUCGUGCCAGCAGCCGCGGUAAUACGAAGGGUGCAAGCGUUAAUCGGAAUUACUGGGCGUAAAGCGCGCGUAGGUGGUCCGUUAAGUUGGAUGUGAAAGCCCCGGGCUCAACCUGGGAACUGCAUCCAAAACUGGCGAGCUAGAGUACGGUAGAGGGUGGUGGAAUUUCCUGUGUAGCGGUGAAAUGCGUAGAUAUAGGAAGGAACACCAGUGGCGAAGGCGACCACCUGGACUGAUACUGACACUGAGGUGCGAAAGCGUGGGGAGCAAACAGG
rnacentral:rRNA from 1 species